GAUGAACUUUGGCGGCGCGCCUAACACAUGCAAGUCGAACGGCACCUAUCUUCGGAUAGAAGCGAGUGGCGAACGGCUGAGUAACACGUGGAGAACCUGCCCCCUCCCCCGGGAUAGCCGCCCGAAAGGACGGGUAAUACCGGAUACCCCCGGGCGCCGCAUGGCGCCCGGGCUAAAGCCCCGACGGGAGGGGAUGGCUCCGCGGCCCAUCAGGUAGACGGCGGGGUGACGGCCCACCGUGCCGACAACGGGUAGCCGGGUUGAGAGACCGACCGGCCAGAUUGGGACUGAGACACGGCCCAGACUCCUACGGGAGGCAGCAGUGGGAAUCUUGCGCAAUGGGGGGAACCCUGACGCAGCGACGCCGCGUGCGGGACGGAGGCCUUCGGGUCGUAAACCGCUUUCAGCAGGGAAGAGUCAAGACUGUACCUGCAGAAGAAGCCCCGGCUAACUACGUGCCAGCAGCCGCGGUAAUACGUAGGGGGCGAGCGUUAUCCGGAUUCAUUGGGCGUAAAGCGCGCGUAGGCGGCCCGGCAGGCCGGGGGUCGAAGCGGGGGGCUCAACCCCCCGAAGCCCCCGGAACCUCCGCGGCUUGGGUCCGGUAGGGGAGGGUGGAACACCCGGUGUAGCGGUGGAAUGCGCAGAUAUCGGGUGGAACACCGGUGGCGAAGGCGGCCCUCUGGGCCGAGACCGACGCUGAGGCGCGAAAGCUGGGGGAGCGAACAGGAUUAGAUACCCUGGUAGUCCCAGCCGUAAACGAUGGACAAGAGGUGUGGGGGGGGGGCGAUCCCCCCCGUGCCGCAGCCAACGCAUUAAGCGUCCCGCCUGGGGAGUACGGCCGCAAGGCUAAAACUCAAAGGAAUUGACGGGGGCCCGCACAAGCAGCGGAGCAUGUGGCUUAAUUCGAAGCAACGCGAAGAACCUUACCAGGGCUUGACAUAUGGGUGAAGCGGGGGAGACCCCGUGGCCGAGAGGAGCCCAUACAGGUGGUGCAUGGCUGUCGUCAGCUCGUGUCGUGAGAUGUUGGGUUAAGUCCCGCAACGAGCGCAACCCCCGCCGCGUGUUGCCAUCGGGUGAUGCCGGGAACCCACGCGGGACCGCCGCCGUCAAGGCGGAGGAGGGCGGGGACGACGUCAAGUCAUCAUGCCCCUUAUGCCCUGGGCUGCACACGUGCUACAAUGGCCGGUACAGAGGGAUGCCACCCCGCGAGGGGGAGCGGAUCCCGGAAAGCCGGCCCCAGUUCGGAUUGGGGGCUGCAACCCGCCCCCAUGAAGUCGGAGUUGCUAGUAAUCGCGGAUCAGCAUGCCGCGGUGAAUGCGUUCCCGGGCCUUGCACACAGCGCCCGUC
rnacentral:rRNA from 1 species